ACUUUAGGUUAGGCGUGAAAUUGGAUUAAAGAUUUACACAAAGAUCCAACUCAUUUUUAAUAUAGAUAAAGUAAAUACCUCUACGAAGAUCUAACUCAUCGCUCUUUGGUUCAAAAGAAAAUUGGUGCACAAGAGGUACAUUGUGUUGUGAUUACCGAUUAAAAAGGAUGUGUUGCAAUGACUGAUCAAGUUGGAGGGAUUUUUGGGAUAUAUUGAACCGAUUAUGAAUCUGUGAUUUUAACAGGUAAAAAUAAUUAGGGUUUUAUUUUUGGUGAAUAUGGAAAUCCAUUGGGGUUGAAGAGUUUCCAACGAUGGAGAGAGGAGAGAAAAGGGAAAAUUCAAACUUUUUUUGGGGAAGGAGUUGUGCGCACUUGCUCUUGAAGUGGCUAAGGUUGAGGCAAUUUGAGUGUAUGCUGUGGUGGACAAUGUCAAGAAAACGAAUGCCAGGUGAAAAAAAUGGAGAAAGAGUCAAAUAACAACAAUAAGACUUCUUGAUUAUUGUGUGUUUGUUUCCAACAAAAGGUCGUGGAAGAAAAAAUAUUUUGUCAAUUAGAAUGAAGGGUAAACUGUGUGAUAGCAAUAGGAAUUUAAAUGGAGAAGCAAAUUUAAAGAAGGAUGAAUAUGUAGCAAACGAUCAUAAAAUGAAGAAAUUAUAACUGGUACAGAGAGGAAGGAUUGAAUAACGUUUGUAAUGAGUUCAAUGGUAAAGAAAAUAGAAGCGUAAAGAAUGAAUAGUGGUAUAUAUUUCGGUAUGAUUUUUUAUUUUGUGCAGAUUUUUUGAGAUUUAUUGACUGGAUAAUAAUUAGCUUCCCAUUAUAAUAAACAAACUUCCAUAUUUUAUUGGAUUGGAUUGGAUAUGAAGGAAUUUGAAAUUUUAAAUUA